rnacentral:rRNA from 1 species
UACAGGGGGUGCAACCGUUGCUCGGAAUCAUUGGGCGUAAAGCGCACGUAGGCGGUUUGUUAUGUCGGAUGUGAAAGCCCUUGGCUCAACUGAGGAAGUGCAUCCGAAACUGGCAAGCUAGAGUACUAAAGAGGGUCGCGGAAUUCCCGGUGUAGAGGUGAAAUUCGUAGAUAUCGGGAGGAACACCAGUGGCGAAGGCGAGUCCCUGGACAUCUCCUGACACUGAGGCACGAAAGCUAGGGGAGCAAACAGG